rfam:Triticum aestivum genome assembly, contig: Triticum_aestivum_CS42_TGACv1_scaffold_404550_5BL
GUCCCUUCGGGGCAUCCGAUAAAAUUGGAAUGAUACAGAGAAGAUUAGCACGGCCCCUGCGCAAGGAUGACACGCACAAAUCGAGAAAUGAUCCAAAUUUUU